AUUGAACGCUGGCGGCAGGCCUAACACAUGCAAGUCGAGCGGAUGAAGGGAGCUUGCUCCUGGAUUCAGCGGCGGACGGGUGAGUAAUGCCUAGGAAUCUGCCUGGUAGUGGGGGAUAACGUCCGGAAACGGGCGCUAAUACCGCAUACGUCCUGAGGGAGAAAGUGGGGGAUCUUCGGACCUCACGCUAUCAGAUGAGCCUAGGUCGGAUUAGCUAGUUGGUGGGGUAAAGGCCUACCAAGGCGACGAUCCGUAACUGGUCUGAGAGGAUGAUCAGUCACACUGGAACUGAGACACGGUCCAGACUCCUACGGGAGGCAGCAGUGGGGAAUAUUGGACUAUGGGCGAAAGCCUGAUCCAGCCAUGCCGCGUGUGUGAAGAAGGUCUUCGGAUUGUAAAUCUCUUUAAGUUGGGAGGAAGGGCAGUAAGUUAAUACCUUGCUGUUUUGACGUUACCAACAGAAUAAGCACCGGCUAACUUCGUG
rnacentral:rRNA from 1 species